GAUGAACGCUGGCGGCGUGCCUAAUACAUGCAAGUCGAGCGAACAGAUGAGGAGCUUGCUCCUCUGACGUUAGCGGCGGACGGGUGAGUAACACGUGGAUAACCUACCUAUAAGACUGGGAUAACUUCGGGAGACCGGAGCUAAUACCAGAUAAUAUGUUGAACCGCAUGGUUCAAGAGUGAGUGACGGUUUUGCUGUCACUUUUAGAUGGAUCCGCGCCGCAUUAGCUAGUUGGUAAGGUAACGGCUUACCAAGGCGACGAUGCGUAGCCGACCUGAGAGGGUGAUCGGCCACACUGGAACUGAGACACGGUCCAGACUCCUACGGGAGGCAGCAGUAGGGAAUCUUCCGCAAUGGGCGAAAGCCUGACGGAGCAACGCCGCGUGAGUGAUGAAGGUCUUCGGAUCGUAAAACUCUGUUAUUAGGGAAGAACAAAUGUGUAAGUAACUAUGCACGUCUUGACGGUACCUAAUCAGAAAGCCACGGCUAACUACGUG
rnacentral:rRNA from 1 species